GACGAACGCUGGCGGCGUGCCUAACACAUGCAAGUCGAACGGAAACGCCCUGCUUUUGUGGGCUGCUCGAGUGGCGAACGGGUGAGUAACACGUGAGUAACCUGCCCUUGCCUUUGGGAUAACCUCAGGAAACUGGGGCUAAUACCGUAUAGGAUCUCCCGCUGCAGGGUGGGCGUUGGAUCGUUUCGGCGGUUGGGGAUGGACUCGCGGCUUAUCAGCUUGUUGGUGGGGUAGUGGCAUACCAAGGCUUUGACGGGUCGCCGGCCUGGGAGGGUGACCGGCCACGAUAGGCCUGAGAUACGGCCCAGACUCGUACGGGAGGCAGCGGUGGGGAAUAUUGCACAGUGGGAGGAGGCGUGGUGCGACAACGCCGCGUGCGGGAAGACGGCCUUCGGGUAGUGAACCGCUGUCGCCUGAGACGAGGCGUUAGUGACGGUAAUGGGAGAAGAAGCACCGGCUAACUACGUG
rnacentral:rRNA from 1 species